rnacentral:rRNA from 1 species
GAUGAACGCUGGCGGCGUGCCUAAUACAUGCCAGUCGAGCGAACAGAUGAGGAGCUUGCUCCUCUGACGUUAGCGGCGGACGGGUGAGUAACACGUGGAUAACCUACCUAUAAGACUGGGAUAACUUCGGGAAACCGGAGCUAAUACCGGAUAAUAUAUUGAACCGCAUGGUUCAAUAGUGAAAGACGGUUUUGCUGUCACUUAUAGAUGGAUCCGCGCCGCAUUAGCUAGUUGGUAAGGUAACGGCUUACCAAGGCAACGAUGCGUAGCCGACCUGAGAGGGUGAUCGGCCACACUGGAACUGAGACACGGUCCAGACUCCUACGGGAGGCAGCAGUAGGGAAUCUUCCGCAAUGGGCGAAAGCCUGACGGAGCAACGCCGCGUGAGUGAUGAAGGUCUUCGGAUCGUAAAACUCUGUUAUUAGGGAAGAACAAAUGUGUAAGUAACUAUGCACGUCUUGACGGUACCUAACCAGAAAGCCACGGCUAACUACGUG